rnacentral:rRNA from 1 species
AUUGAACGCUGGCGGCAGGCCUAACACAUGCAAGUCGAGCGGAUGAAGGGAGCUUGCUCCUGGAUUCAGCGGCGGACGGGUGAGUAAUGCCUAGGAAUCUGCCUGGUAGUGGGGGAUAACGUCCGGAAACGGGCGCUAAUACCGCAUACGUCCUGAGGGAGAAAGUGGGGGAUCUUCGGACCUCACGCUAUCAGAUGAGCCUAGGUCGGAUUAGCUAGUUGGUGGGGUAAAGGCCUACCAAGGCGACGAUCCGUAACUGGUCUGAGAGGAUGAUCAGUCAAACUGGACCUGGGAAACGGUCCGGACCCCAACGGAGGGCAGAGGUGGGAAUAUUGGACAAUGGGCGAAAGCCUGAUCCAGCCAUGCCGCGUGUGUGAAGAAGGUCUUCGGAUUGUAAAGCACUUUAAGUUGGGAGGAAGGGCAGUAAGUUAAUACCUUGCUGUUUUGACGUUACCAACAGAAUAAGCACCGGCUAACUUCGUG